UCACUGAGGUGGACGCCCUCCAGCUCCGCAUACUGCGGCCCAGAGAAGAGCCUCAUCACCGCAGAGACCCGGGGAACCUGCAGCACUGUUUCCUUGAAGCAGGUGCGUGCUCACCAGAAGAUGUGGCUGAGGAGCAGGGCCGCGUAGUCCCUGAGGGUCCAGUGGUCGUUGAGCGGGUUGAUGGAGGCGGCCAGCGGCUCCAGGAUGCAGUACAUGACACUGGAGACCAGGCUUCGCACGUAGGAUCCCAGAUACAGUCCCCAUCUGUUUGGAUCGAGACGUGGCCGUGGGACAAACCUACCCCGCUGAUGACGUAAACAAAGUACGGCAGGAGGGCAGCGAUCUUGGAGUUGGACUGGAGGUCCAGCAGAGCCACCUGAAACACGCAGAAGCAAAAAGGUUGGAACAGACCCACUCAUUCACCGGACUGACCCAGAUGCAGCAACAGCUUACCUUCAUGAGGUGGGGGUCCUCCCCCAGGAUGGCCCGGGUGAUCUGCUGGUAGUACUUCAGCAGGUCCUCCGACAGAGACUGCACCGCUGUGGGAACUGGGACAAUGCAACAGUCUGUGAUGAACACUGAACUCCGACAUCAGGCUCAAACGGAUGCACCUCUGCUUUAGAUACAGUCGGGCCGCUACAGGUCGAUUCAUGACAAUGAAUAAGGAACAUAACGUGGCAUGGGCGUCUUCACUGACCUACACACCCCUCAAAUGUAUUAGGUGGAAAAUCUCUCUGACCCUCUAAGCGGCUGGUGAGCAUGUGACCUGGUUGGAUUUCAUUAGAAUGUUUUUACAUGCAUGCUCUGUAAAAUCUGUCUGCUCCUGGUAUACAAAACAGGCUUCAAAUUGAAUUGUGUGUUGCACUCUACAAAUAUUCUGCUUCACCACA